rnacentral:lncRNA from 1 species
UGUGAUUCUUCAGUCGUAUCUCGAAGGACAUAAGGAGAAUUUGGAACCUUCUUUGCCAACCAAAAGCUUGAGUUUUUACACAAACAAGAUCCCGGAGGACUAAUCUAAUUUAUUUCAUACCAGCGUUGACCUUCUGAGCAGCAAAAUGCCCAAUAGAAGCCACGACGACGGCUUUCGUCGACCUGGAGAAGAUGAGUCGUGGGAAGUGUUAUUGGGCUGUCUAAUGGUAUAAAAACAGAUAGAAUGAAGCCCAACUUGCCUUGCAAGCAGCUCAGCAUUAAUAUGGUAUUGAGCUGCAUCCUCAUUUUUGUUAUUCAGCGCAUACUGAAAAUUGCGGUGCAAAUGUGGAGGGGGCGGUCAAAGUUGCGAUUGACUUCUUUAGUGGUGAAUGCACAGUGGUUCCUCGAUGCGAG